rnacentral:pre_miRNA from 1 species
CAAGUACUCCCUCCGUCUAGAAUUACUUGUCAUCAAAAUGGAUGUGUCUAGAACUAAAAUACAUCUAGAUACAUCCAUUUCAAUGACAAGUAUUUUCGGACGGGGGGAGUACAAG